CUGGAGAAAACCUGAGCGAUGAUUUAAUGCAGCUCCAUUUGCAAGUCUCAUUGUGACAGCAGACUGUCAUCAAUGCUCUGCAGGGACAGUGCAGGGGAGUGCAGAACCCGUCCAUCAGCAUUGGGAGAGGAUCAGGCUUUUGUAACACAUGGCUGGGCUUCAGGAGGCACACAGGCUCAGGGAUUUGGAGGCAGGUGAUUGCAUUUGCUCUGAGUCUUGGAGAGAACACAAGCCUCAGUCUUGAGCAGAAGAUAAGGAGCAGAAUGACCUUGCAUCCUCCAGCCAUAUACCUGAUGUUAACAGUCGAGGAACCCAAGGCCAACCCAAGGACUGUAUCGUGGUGUGCAUAGACCAAUAGGCAUCCAAUUGAUCAAGCUCAGUGAUGCUCUUGGGAAGAGAGACGACACUGCAGAGAUCCCAUUCAUCAGCUUUAGCAGUUGGGAAAGGAUGGGAGAACAGCUCAUCACAGAGCUCUGCAUCCUGCACCAUGCUCACGUCUGCUGGGAUGCUCUCACUUCAGAGAUGGGUUUUGAAGAGUCAGCGGAGAGCAAAUGAGGUGAUGCCACAUCCUUGCCAGAAGUUAACCGGCCCUGACGCUGCUCACCCCAGUGCUGAGAGGCACCACGAGCUUCAAUGGGGAAGGUUUUUUGGUAUCUGGAUGGGAAGCAACUACACCCCCACUCUGAGCUCAUCAAUGCAUCGAGCAAAGCCAAGGCAGAAAUUGUUGUAUUCACUGCAUGAGACCUCGUUGAGUCUGAGGAGCAAAAUAGCUGCCCUAACAUCACACAGUUGUAAGCCAUUACUGGCAGCUGAGUCACUGAAUUAAUUCACCCUUCAGAGACCUCACCCACCUUGAACCUUGCAGCAAAUCCUUCUGCUCCAUCCCAUUGCCUGGAUACACCGCGUGUAGGAAACCAUCCUCCCCAAACCAACCUGUCUCCCCAGGGAUGUUCAGUCCACACAAUCACAGCUUCUUAGACAAGUUUUGCACUGAUCUGCUGAGCUUAGUCCUGGAAACCUCAUGCCCAUGUUCACCAGUCCAAACCAAGCAACAGAAAUGGAGUACAGAUGGAU
rnacentral:lncRNA from 1 species